rnacentral:rRNA from 1 species
AUAAUGGGUCAGCGACUUAUAUUCUGUAGCAAGGUUAACCGAAUAGGGGAGCCGAAGGGAAACCGAGUCUUAACUGGGCGUUAAGUUGCAGGGUAUAGACCCGAAACCCGGUGAUCUAGCCAUGGGCAGGUUGAAGGUUGGGUAACACUAACUGGAGGACCGAACCGACUAAUGUUGAAAAAUUAGCGGAUGACUUGUGGCUGGGGGUGAAAGGCCAAUCAAACCGGGAGAUAGCUGGUUCUCCCCGAAAGCUAUUUAGGUAGCGCCUCGUGAAUUCAUCUCCGGGGGUAGAGCACUGUUUCGGCAAGGGGGUCAUCCCGACUUACCAACCCGAUGCAAACUGCGAAUACCGGAGAAUGUUAUCA